rnacentral:rRNA from 1 species
CCUACGGGCGGCAGCAGUGAGGAAUAUUGGUCAAUGGGCGGGAGCCUGAACCAGCCAAGUCGCGUGAGGGACGACGGUCCUAUGGAUUGUAAACCUCUUUUGUCGGGGAACAAAGGCGCCCACGGGUGGGCGGAUGAGUGUACCCGAAGAAAAAGCAUCGGCUAACUCCGUGCCAGCAGCCGCGGUAAUACGUAGGUGGCAAGCGUUAUCCGGAUUUACUGGGUGUAAAGGGCGUGUAGGCGGGAAAGCAAGUCAGAUGUGAAAACCAUGGGCUCAACCUGUGGCCUGCAUUUGAAACUGGUUAUCUUGAGUACUGGAGAGGCAGACGGAAUGCCUAGUGUAGCGGUGAAAUGCGUAGAUAUUAGGAGGAACACCAGUGGCGAAGGCGGUCUGCUGGACAGCAACUGACGCUGAGGCGCGAAAGCGUGGGGAGCAAACAGGAUUAGAUACCCGAGUAGUC